AUAGAUUAGGCAAUACUAAAUAUAAUUGAAACAAUACCGAGAAGAUUAGCAUCGCCCUGACAAACAAAGAAAUGGUCAUUUGACACUAGAUACAGUUGAGA
rnacentral:sRNA from 1 species